rnacentral:sRNA from 1 species
UUUCAUUCGCGGCAAUUAGGAGCCAAUUUCACGCGUCGUUCUCGCAGCGAAACCAUAAAUUUCGCCCGACACUUGUCCGGCUGAAGGCGACUUAAAUGGUUUAAGGUAUUACGACCAAGACUAUAUUUUAUUGGUAAUAGGAACGAAAUGCGAAGUGUGCGGUUCAUACUUUUGUGGCGCUGUCGAUUGAAUUGCAGUCGUGAAAUGUGUAAAAGAAACCAAACAACUUUUUUCAAAUUAAAACAAUUACUCCAUUAAUAACUGUUCUUUUCACAAAAUACCAAUAUGGUCAAGUCUAAAUACCUUUCAACUUACAUAUACUGUUGCAAUCCCGAGGGCUUAAAGGCAUUUCCAGUUAAGAAAUCAAUGUUAUUUCAUGAGCGGCAAUUUCAAGAGCAGUCAUUGAUUAAGCCAUCAAUCAUAUUAACUUUGACUGCAUGACAAGAUGCAAAUGCCGGCUUUGUACGCUUCUAUAUUGCAUAUAUGCAAAAGAAUCUUCUCUUUGGUAAGAGAGCAAAAGCAAAUCCUCAAAACGGGCCAAAUGUCAACAGGAAUAAAACGGAAGUCGCAUUCGAUGGCAAGAGACAUUUGAUGGCCAUCGGAUCAUUUUUCACUUCAUUCAUAAGCCGGAAAACGUAAUUUAUAAUGGGAAAUUCCUAAGACGGAGCAGCAGGCGAUAAAUUUACAGUUUGCGAAACGUUAUUAAUUGCUAAUUACCUCCGAACAUGAUUAAUGCCCUCCUAGCCGCCGCGUUCAUCUGCAUUUCAGUAUGCUCAUUGAUGUGCCAUUUACACAUAGAGGUAAAAUAACAUAGUAUCAAUCACUGGAGCUGGAAGUUUCCAAAUAUGGCAUGCAUUUAGUUUUCCAUACUGGAAAAACUGCAGAUCGGUUUCUAAAUGUAUCAUAUUACAUUGACUGAGAUAUUCUUGUAACUGUAUAUUUUUAUUUAACAAUAAUUUUAAAACAUGAAGAAAAUUUAUAUUAAAUAAAUUUUUCUCAAUGUGGAGGAAAGCCGUCCGAGUUUCCACUCGAUCCAAACGUCA